ACCCCAUGAUAUUAAGCCGGCAGUUGCUUUGAAACCCCCGAGCUCCUGUGACUUUGAUUGGGAACAGUAAUGCUUCUGAUGUGUGUAUGUUGUGCAGGCUCCUCCGCAGGCUCAACAAAGAAAUUUCAGUCGACA